rnacentral:rRNA from 1 species
GAUGAACGCUGGCGGCGUGCCUAAUACAUGCAAGUCGAGCGAACAGAUGAGGAGCUUGCUCCUCUGACGUUAGCGGCGGACGGGUGAGUAACACGUGGAUAACCUACCUAUAAGACUGGGAUAACUUCGGGAAACCGGAGCUAAUACCGGAUAAUAUAUUGAACCGCAUGGUUCAAUAGUGAAAGACGGUUUUGCUGUCACUUAUAGAUGGAUCCGCGCCGCAUUAGCUAGUUGGUAAGGUAACGGCUUACCAAGGCAACGAUGCGUAGCCGACCUGAGAGGGGGAUCGGCCACACUGGAACUGAGACACGGUCCAGACUCCUACGGGAGGCAGCAGUAGGGAAUCUUCCGCAAUGGGCGAAAGCCUGACGGAGCAACGCCGCGUGAGUGAUGAAGGUCUUCGGAUCGUAAAACUCUGUUAUGAGGGAAGAACAAAUGUGUAAGUAAAUAUGCACGUCUUGACGGUACCUAAUCAGAAAGCCACGGCUAACUACGUG